rnacentral:rRNA from 1 species
AUUGAACGCUAGCGGGAUGCUUUACACAUGCAAGUCGAACGGAGGGGCGGACGGGUGAGUAAUAUAUCGGAACGUGCCCAGUAGCGGGGGAUAACUACUCGAAAGAGUGGAUAAUACCGCAAACUGUUGGAGCAGCCGAUAGGGGAUGAGCUAGGUGGUGGGGUAAAGGCUCACCAAGGCAACGAUCCGUAGCUGGUUUGAGAGGACGACCAGCCACACUGGAACUGAGACACGGCCCAGACUCCUACGGGAGGCAGCAGUGGGGAAUUGUGGACAAUGGGGGAAACCCUGAUCCAGCCAUCCCGCGUGUAUGAUGAAGGCCUUCGGGUUGUAAAGUACUUUCGGCAGAGAAGCGGUAUCUGCAGAAUAAGCACCGGCUAACUGCGUGCCAGCAGCCGCGGUAAUAC